AGCAGCCGCGGUAAUUCCAGCUCCAAUAGCGUAUAUUAAAGUUGUUGCAGUUAAAAAGCUCGUAGUUGAAUUUCGAGACCGGCUUACUGGUCGUGCUAUUGUACGUACUGGUAUAACCGGUUUCUCCUUUCUGACGAACUUUAAUGCCAUUAAUUUGGUGUUUUAGGGAAUCAGGACUGUUACUUUGAAAAAAUUAGAGUGUUUAAAGCAGGCUCACGCUUGAAUACAUUAGCAUGGAAUAACGGAAUAGGACGUUUGAUUCUAUUUUGUUGGUUUCUAGGAUCGACGUAAUGAUUAAUAGGGAUAGUUGGGGGCAUUAGUAUUCAAUUGUCAGAGGUGAAAUUCUUGGAUUUAUUGAAGACUAACUACUGCGAAAGCAUUUGCCAAGGAUGUUUUCAUUAAUCAAGAACGAAGUUAGGGGAUCGAAGACGAUCAGAUACCGUCGUAGUCUUAACCAUAAACUAUGCCGACUAGGGAUCGGAUGAUGUUAAUUUUU
rnacentral:rRNA from 1 species